rnacentral:tRNA from 1 species
GCCUGGCUAGCUCAGUCGGAAGAGCGUGUGACUCUUGAUCUCGAGGUCUUGAGUUUGAGCCCUAUGUUGGGUA